rnacentral:rRNA from 1 species
UACGUAGGGUGCGAGCGUUAAUCGGAAUUACUGGGCGUAAAGCGUGCGCAGGCGGUUCGUUGUGUCGGCGGUGAAAGCCCCGGGCUCAACCUGGGAAUGGCCGUUGAAACUGGCGAACUGGAGUGUGGCAGAGGGGGGUGGAAUUCCCGGUGUAGCGGUGAAAUGCGUAGAGAUCGGGAGGAACACCCGUGGCGAAGGCGGCCAUCUGGACCAGCACUGACGCUGAGGCACGAAAGCGUGGGGAGCAAACAGG